UGCAGCGACGAUGGCGGCGGCGGCGGCGGAGACAAUAAGAUGCAGUACAGCUUGUUGUACCAGUACCAUUGACAUCCAUCACAUGGCCAAAGACAAAGCGACUCCCAUGUAGUUCUUCCAAUCGGCAUUGAUAACGACAAGCUCAUUUGGAUCGAUUGCACGCGAGAUGGGUUCCCGGCCGGCGGCGCGUCUGCUCCAUGCAAAUAUCUUCAUGAUGCAAUCUACUCCGACGACAAAUACGAUGACUACUAGAUUAACGCGACAUGAUUUACCCAUCAUGCAAUAAACACGCACAAAAAACCUGAAACUACUUAUACUCUGAUGGUGUACUCUUUUUAAUUAAUUAUUAUUCUUAUUUGUCUUGUAAUCUAGUUUAAAAUGAAUUGUGCUUUAUUUUAUUAUAUACUUAUUUUCUUAACGCA